rnacentral:piRNA from 1 species
UGGGGCAGGCUCUGAAUGGGUGUUCCUUUU